UACGGAGGGUGCAAGCGUUAUCCGGAUUCACUGGGUUUAAAGGGUGCGUAGGCGGGUUGGGAAGUCAGUGGUGAAAUCUUCAAGCUUAACUUGGAAACUGCCGUUGAUACUAUCAAUCUUGAAUAUUGUGGAGGUAAGCGGAAUAUGUCAUGUAGCGGUGAAAUGCUUAGAUAUGACAUAGAACACCGAUAGCGAAGGCAGCUUGCUACACAAUAAUUGACGCUGAGGCACGAAAGCGUGGGGAUCAAACAGG
rnacentral:rRNA from 1 species